rnacentral:rRNA from 1 species
GACGAACGCUGGCGGCGUGCUUAACACAUGCAAGUCGAACGGAAAGGCCCUGCUUUUGUGGGGUGCUCGAGUGGCGAACGGGUGAGUAACACGUGAGUAACCUGCCCUUGACUUUGGGAUAACUUCAGGAAACUGGGGCUAAUACCGGAUAGGAGCUCCUGCUGCAUGGUGGGGGUUGGAAAGUUUCGGCGGUUGGGGAUGGACUCGCGGCUUAUCAGCUUGUUGGUGGGGUAGUGGCUUACCAAGGCUUCGACGGGUAGCCGGCCUGAGAGGGUGACCGGCCACAUUGGGACUGAGAGACGGCCCAGACGCCUACGGGAGGCAGCAGUGGGGAAUAUUGCACAAUGGGCGGAAGCCUGAUGCAGCAACGCCGCGUGCGGGAUGACGGCCUUCGGGUUGUAAAACGCUUUCGCCUGUGACGAAGCGUGAGUGACGGUAAUGGGUAAAGAAGCACCGGCUAACUACGUG